rnacentral:rRNA from 1 species
UACGGAGGGCGCAAGCGUUGUUCGGAAUCACUGGGCGUAAAGCGCGUGUAGGCGGCUCUACAAGUCGGGUGUGAAAUCCCGAGGCUCAACCUCGGAACUGCACUCGAUACUGCUUGGCUCGAGUCCCGGAGAGGGUGGCGGAAUUCCCGGUGUAGGGGUGAAAUCCGUAGAUAUCGGGAGGAACACCAGUGGCGAAGGCGGCCACCUGGACGGUGACUGACGCUGAGACGCGAAAGCGUGGGGAGCAAACAGG